rnacentral:SRP_RNA from 1 species
CCAUCAGGCCUUAGCAACAGGAAUCAGUGAACCGUGUCAGGAUCGGAAGAUAGCAGCACUAAGCUGAGCCCCCUGUGUGCUAGGAUCCCUGGUGGGUU